CCCUUAGACGUUCUGGGCCGCACGCGCGCUACACUGACCAGUGCAACAAGCAUCCGUCCUUGGCCGACAGGCCCGGGUAAUCUUUGAACGCUGGUCGUGAUGGGGAUAGACUUUUGCAAUUUUUGGUCUUCAACGAGGAAUUCCUAGUAAACGCAAGUCAUCAACUUGCAUUGAUUACGUCCCUGCCCUUUGUACACACCGCCCGUCGCACCUACCGAUUGAAUGGUCCGGUGAAGCCUCCGGAUUGGCGCGCACCUCGGUGCCGCCGAGAAGUUGGCUAAACCUUACCAUUUAGAGGAAGGUGAANUCGUANCA
rnacentral:rRNA from 1 species